UACAGAGGGGGGCAAGCGUUAUUCGGAAUUAUUGGGCGUAAAGGGCGCGUUAGGCGGCUUUGCAAGUGACGGGUGAAAAGCCCCUCGGCUUAAACCCGAGGAACUGCCUGUCAGACUGUGAGGCUUGAGACCGGAGAGGUGAGUGGAAUUCCUGGUGUAGCGGUGAAAUGCGCAGAUAUCAGGAGGAAACACCCGUGGCGAAAAGCGGCUCUCUGGGAACGGUACUGACGCUGAGACGCGAAAGCGUGGGGAGCGAUCGG
rnacentral:rRNA from 1 species